rnacentral:rRNA from 1 species
GCCCAGACUCCUACGGGAGGCAGCAGUGAGGAAUAUUGGUCAAUGGCCGCAGGGCUGAACCAGCCAAGUCGCGUGAGGGAUGACGGUCCUAUGGAUUGUAAACCUCUUUUGUCAGGGAGCAAAGGGCGCCACGUGUGGCGUUUUGCGAGUACCUGAAGAAAAAGCAUCGGCUAACUCCGUGCCAGCAGCCGCGGUAAUACGGAGGAUGCGAGCGUUAUCCGGAUUUAUUGGGUUUAAAGGGUGCGCAGGCGGAAUGUCAAGUCAGCGGUAAAAUUUCGGGGCUCAACCCCGUCGUGCCGUUGAAACUGGCGUUCCUGAGUGAGCGAGAAGUAUGCGGAAUGCGUGGUGUAGCGGUGAAAUGCGUAGAUAUCAGGAGGAACACCGGCGGCGAAGGCGGCCUGCUGGACCGCGACUGACGUUGAGGCUCGAAAGCGUGGGGAGCGAACAGGAUUAGAUACCCGAGUA